ensembl:lncRNA
GUAAAAACCCGGCUUCAUCUGACUCCCUCUCUUUCAGAGGACCACCCCCUCCCCUAUCCUCUCUCCAUCUGACUGCGCCCAACUUCUCUCCCUCCAUCCUGCCGUACAGCUACACGGACUGCACCCAGCACGCACAAAACCUGAUUUUGAUGGGUUCGGGAUAUUUGCUUGACUCUUGUACUCUUUAUGGGUCUGGACUAUUUGUACUUUAAAGAGUGUUCUCUGGAAAGAGAAAGAGAGAGAGAGAAAUACCGCCUAUUCAGCUCGUGUGCAGAAGAAGGACGGUCCGACCUCCGCAUCCCUCGCAACAUCCCUCCGCUUCCUCCGCAUCCUCAGCAUCCCAUCCCUGGGAGGACCUCCAGAGAAGAGGACCGCGGACCAAGCUGCAAAUAAAGCCGGUUUACAUCGUUCUCUCACCGGGCACACAGAGCCUCAAGAGUCGGUGUGUUUAAUGGAGGUCUGGGCUGCCUUUUUAUUUAUUUAUUUUUAAACAUCAAACAAUAAGAACGUGCUCUGUAAUGGCAAAAGAAAUAGAUACCUGCGCCAUUUAUCCUGCACCCUGCCGCUGAAAGGCCUCCAGAAAUCCUUCAGAUGACACUUUUUGUGGAACUUCUGCCAAAUUAAGCCAAUGAAAUGACAAUACCAGUAGAGAUGACAUUAUUUCAAGUAUGCUAGAAGCCAAAGGAGGAGAUUGAAGCGAUUAAUAUUCAAAUGAUUUGGAUGGAUUUUGACAUAAUUUUUAGUCACAGGGCUAAAAUCUGCAAACUGUCCAUAUACACAGCGGAUAAACUGAUUGUCACUGAACCACUUCUAACACUGCACCCAUUUACAUCUCAGGGAAAAGAAAGAUAUGCACACACAGUCACAUUUACGCCUAUGCAUGGACCACUACAGGGUCCUCCUGAGCUGCCUCUCUGUGUGUGGACUGCAGGAGGAGACAAAGCACUGCAGAGGAGCAGAGCUGAGUAAAAAAACCUUGCCGUUAUUGUAACGAACCACUCUUUUGCUUUAACAAUAAUGUAUUAUAACGCUGUCAAUAGAUUGCAUUCACAAUAUCUAGUACAAUCAGCACCAAUAUCAUCAUAAAUGUUGCUGUCAGUGUAAUUUGAUCAGCUGUAUUCAAUUUGUAAGGCAGUUUUAGCAGCAUGCGGAGGCAUGAUAAAUAAUCAGUGCAGUCAUAGUCAAUAUAACCCAACGGUGACAAUAAAGCGUUCACUAUAUUGAUAUUUAAUACAUUUAUAGCCCACUGAGUGUCAUGGGAGAUUUACAAGCUCAAUAUAUUGAAAUUUGUUUAUCUGUUUAUAGAAAUACAUUAAAGAGGAACCCCCUCAGCGCUUGAUAACUUGGCAGCAAUUUUAUUUUCUGGAGUGCUGCUGUUGCAGAAAAACUACUGAGACAGAUAAGGACGGGAAUAAAGUGGAAGUGAUUCAGUCAAGCUGGACAGAGAAAGCUCUAGUAGGACAGAGCAGUGCUGGGGAAAAAAAGAAAAGAAAAACAGUGGUAAAAAUGGACUCACUGGAAACGUUAAAGCGAGGUGCACAAGACCACAGCUGCAUUGAAAAAAAAAGCAAUAAAUGUAUGAAAACUGUACAAAAUCACGAUGUUGUGAGUCAGAUGAGAACAAAGGGGAAUAAGAGAAAUAUGGGUUGUCACUCCUCGUGUUCACAGCGGACCUUGAUUUAAAUGUCCAUACAAUUAAGGCACGCGGUGAAUGCCAAGAGAGCAACCAAAUAUCAGCCAUUACAAACACUUAUUUGACUGUUCAUGUCAUGCAAAGAUGUAAAGAUGCAUUUCCAGUUUCCAGUUUCUCUAACAUGGCUGUCUUGAUGGUAGACUGGGUAAGACGCUGCAGUACCACCACGGACCACUAGUGCACACACACAUAUAUAUAUAUAUAUAUAUAUAUAUAUAUAUAUAUAUAUAUAUAUAUAAAUGACUUUUUUGUUCCUUUAUUAUUUUUUAUUAAAAAUUAUUAGAUAUAAGAUUGUCCUCAUAUUUUUCUUUCAUGCCGUUACAACCCUAUCCAUAUUUAAGAGUUAACUAUGACAGCGCCUUCUAGUGUCUGAAUUACAUGAGCUUAUAUUUAGUCUGUGUGUAGUAUUAUAGCACCAGUAUUAGGAGGAGGUUGGGGUGGAUGGAUAGGUCUACGGUUCUGCUUUUGUUCUCCGAAACCUGAAUCAAAAGAUUUGAAAUAAGUGCUUUUUGCCUUUAAUCUCAAUUGGAAAUCAGAGAAACUGGAGUAGAAAUAAGUAGAGAGUAAUAUUAAUUGAUUUUCCUAUCAAAUUAAAUGAUUAAAUACAGUUUAUCAUAAAGUGCUAUCAUUUCCAGGCUCUUGUAAGUGUCUAAUGCCACAUAUUGCAACUGUUUUCAAAAGUCAUAUUUGUAGCUAGCUGAGUUGUGCCAAUUGGGGUUAAAUAUCAGCAUACUCACAUGUGCCAAAUUUGGAGUAGUAUUAUAUGUGCAGAUUUGGCCCAGUUUAGACUGAGGAAAUGACAUUUAUUUCUACUGGCUGGCAGAAUUAGGACCAUUUCAACCAUGGGGAGCUGCAGGAAGGGACUAAUAUUUUGUAACUGAAUGCCAACCACCAGUGAGCAUUCAAAGAAUCAGUAUAUACAGAGAUUGGUCCAGAGAUUGUGCCCAAUUAAAUGCUCACUAAUAAUGAACUUCAAGAUCAAACUAGUCAGUAGUUUUAUUUACAAAGGCCUAAAUCCAACCAGAUCAUUUCUAUCCUCAACUUCAGGUAAAGGAAAAAUCCUCAAAAACUAAUUAAAUGAAUGAGAUAACGCUGAAAGACGCGAGAUAAACACUUAAAAUGUCUCGUUAACAUCAGCAGAACACAUCAGUUCAUUCUGCUUUCAUUACCAUCGCUGCUCUGUUGCGUCUCGCUUACAUCAGCCUCCUAAAUCCUAAGAAAUCCACUAUAAUUUGUAGUCUUUGAGACUUUGAAAGCUGUCUGACAUGCAGGUCUAGUUAAUGUCCUCACUGAAAGAUCUGAUUAAUUAUGUUCUAAAAUGAGAUUAGAUUUAAAUGAGAUUGGAAGCACUGAUUUGAAAAAAAUGGAAAAGGGUGUGAGCAGCCGGGUUAAUACCCACCACUAAUUAAUGCCCUGUGUUUACAGAUUAAAAUUCGAAAUGGAAUUAAAAGUAUGGACAAAGCGGGUCUGCUGGAGGCUUUAAUAAUGUAUGCUUCACUCACAUGCAUGUCUAUAACAUGUAGCAUGUAAUAUUAAUAAGAACCAAGUGCAGCUACGGUGUUCCUGUGCUUCCUGUUAAUUUCCUGUCAGCCUGUAUGAAUCCACCCUGGCAUGCUUUGCUUCAGUGCUGCAGGAUUGUGAUUAAAGUAACUGUGUUUCACAUGGGUCUCAUUUGUUAUGGUUCUGACAUGCAGACAAGGCCAAUAAAUACUAUACAAGAGGAUAAAGCCUUCUGAUAUUGGAUGGAAAACAGCAGCAGAGCAACUGCAAGUAAUGCAAAUAGGAAGAGAUUUUUAGGCUUAAAAUCUUUCAUAGAAAAAGGAUAUUUUUGGACUUCAGCACAAAAAAACGGACUCCCAGCACCUCCAGGCUUUGUUCCCAGUAUAAUUAAUGCUUGCUUGUAUAAUUAUUGCUGUCCAAUAAGCACUUUUUGCUCUGUGUGAAAUAAGAGAAUACAUUACAUGGAUGUAGGUGAAGAUUUUCUGAUUCACGGUAGAGACAAGGAUAGCAGCAGGACAGGAAGUCUCCCGAGUUAUCACUUACUAAUGCAUUGUCCCCAAACACAGAGUGUAUCGAUCAAGGAUGUAUAGUUCCUCUGCUGGGAACGGAGGUCGUACACUGGAUAUUUACUGUAUGCUGUUCUGAACAUGCACAGAGAGUGAAUUUAAUCACUCUGGUGCAUCUUAAUGUAUUUUCUUCAGACUGUGAAUUUUGCAAAUAAAUUGAUUUCAGCUUGUUAAAUUAUUUAAAGAACCACGUUUUUGUUUUUUUCUGUCCCAUACAGCUACUUUACUUAUACUGGAAAUUUGCUUAACUCUGGGCUUUUCUUAGAUGAGCUAAAAUAUCUGUAAAAAACAAACAAACAAACAAACAAAACCUUCUCCUUCUUCAGAAACUGCCAUGUACGUGGGAAAAUACGGACGCAUGGAUUGUGAGUGUUAUAUGAGCACAUAUUAGAUCUUGGGUUUGACAGCUGAAAGAUGAAACAGAUGAUUAAUGUACACGCACUGCAGAAAAAGACACCACGAUUGCAUUAUAGUUUAUCCUCUGGCUGAAUUCUUUUUAUCCCAGUAUUUUUUUUUCGCAUUUGAUUAAAUAAAAGUAACCAAAUCAAUGUGAUGCAGUUUCCCUCCACCCUUAUUCACAGCUUUUGCACUUUUCUGCUAUAGACGUGUUUUAUUUGUUGGCUGCGGUAUAAUUUUGCAAGAUUUAUAUACUCGGAUCAACUGUUCAAGCACUGUGGUUAAAUAAUCUCAAAGCAGUCAGUGUUAUGUGUCUGUGCGUGCUGUUUGUCUAUUGUAUGUUCUCAGGGACAUAAUGAUACCCAAGAGUGUCUUAUGAAGAUGCUAAACAAUAAAAUACAAUUUAAAAAAUGACCUUGUUUUUGUCUUUAUUCUUUUUGUUUCAUUUUUUAUAUAUUUAAUGAGAACCUACCUUAACUUCUGUCACACAGUUUUAGUUGUGGAUCUCCAUAUUAAAUGGCAAAAUCUUCAUAUAAUGAUGUAGGGACUUCCUGUGAGCCAAAAGCUCAGGCUUCAAACUCCUCUAAAUGCUCUGUUGAUUUUAUUUUAUUAUUUGAGAACAGUGAGACGCCCU